rnacentral:rRNA from 1 species
AUUGAACGCUGGCGGCAGGCCUAACACAUGCAAGUCGAGCGAAUGAGGGAAGCUUGCUUCCCGAUUUAGCGGCGGACGGGUGAGUAAUGCCUAGGAAUCUGCCUAUUAGUGGGGGACAACAUCUCGAAAGGGAUGCUAAUACCGCAUACGUCCUACGGGAGAAAGCAGGGGAUCUUUAUGACCUUGCGCUAAUAGAUGAGCCUAAGUCGGAUUAGCUAGUUGGUGGGGUAAAGGCCUACCAAGGCGACGAUCUGUAGCGGGUCUGAGAGGAUGAUCCGCCACACUGGGACUGAGACACGGCCCAGACUCCUACGGGAGGCAGCAGUGGGGAAUAUUGGACAAUGGGGGGAACCCUGAUCCAGCCAUGCCGCGUGUGUGAAGAAGGCCUUAUGGUUGUAAAGCACUUUAAGCGAGGAGGAGGCUCUUUUGGUUAAUACCCAAGAUGAGUGGACGUUACUCGCAGAAUAAGCACCGGCUAACUCUGUGCCAGCCGCCGCCGUAAUAC